rnacentral:rRNA from 1 species
UCCUACGGGAGGCAGCAGUAAGGAAUAUUGGUCAAUGGACGCAAGUCUGAACCAGCCAUGCCGCGUGAAGGAUUAAGGUCCUCUGGAUUGUAAACUUCUCUUAUCUGGGACGAAAAAAGGCGAUUCUUCGUCACUUGACGGUACCAGAUGAAUAAGCACCGGCUAACUCCGUGCCAGCAGCCGCGGUAAUACGGAGGGUGCAAGCGUUAUCCGGAUUCACUGGGUUUAAAGGGUGCGUAGGCGGGCAGGUAAGUCAGUGGUGAAAUCCUGGAGCUUAACUCCAGAACCGCCAUUGAUACUAUCUGUCUUGAAUAUUGUGGAGGUAAGCGGAAUAUGUCAUGUAGCGGUGAAAUGCUUAGAUAUGACAUAGAACACCUAUUGCGAAGGCAGCUUCUUGGUCCAUUCCUGACGUUCAUACACGA